AUGACAAAGUUCGAAUUCUUAUGCAAUGAGUGUGGUAUAGUUUUUCCAUCUCCACAAACUUUAGGAGUGCAUGCGAUUGAAAAACAUCAUCCACAUUUAAUAUUAGAAUCAAGUGCACCACAACCACCACCACCAAAUAAUCAACGUCGCCCUGAACCCUCAAAUGCUCAAAAUCAACCACAAAAUGCACCACCACGACAUGUGCAACUGCAACCAUUUGAUUUGAACCUACCUCUUAAUGUUCGACCUUUCGAUCUUAAUACUCUUCCUUCUUCCUCAGAAGAGGAAUGA